CCUACGGGGGGCAGCAGUGGGGAAUAUUGGACAAUGGGGGCAACCCUGAUCCAGCCAUGCCGCGUGUGUGAAGAAGGCCCUCGGGUUGUAAAGCACUUUCAGUGAGGAAGAACGCCUGGUGGUUAAUACCCAUCAGGAAAGACAUCACUCACAGAAGAAGCACCGGCUAACUCCGUGCCAGCAGCCGCGGUAAUACGGAGGGGGCGAGCGUUAAUCGGAAUUACUGGGCGUAAAGCGCGCGUAGGUGGCUUGAUAAGCCGGUUGUGAAAGCCCCGGGCUCAACCUGGGAACGGCAUCCGGAACUGUCAAGCUAGAGUGCAGGAGAGGAAGGUAGAAUUCCCGGUGUAGCGGUGAAAUGCGUAGAGAUCGGGAGGAAUACCAGUGGCGAAGGCGGCCUUCUGGACUGACACUGACACUGAGGUGCGAAAGCGUGGGUAGCAAACAGGAUUAGAUACCCUAGUAGUC
rnacentral:rRNA from 1 species